ensembl:lncRNA
UUUACACCCAAGUAUUCCUUUUUUUUUCUUUAGUGAUUGUAAAUGAUACUGUAUUCUUAAUUUCAGGGUCCACAUGUUCAUUGCUAGUAUCCAGGAAAACAGUUGAGUUUUUGUUUUUAUUUUGUAUCCUUCAUCCUUGCUAAACUCACUCAUUGGUCGUAGGCAUUUUUUUUUUUUUCUUUUUUGGUUAUAGUCCUCAGGAUUUUCUAUCUGGACAGUCAUAUCAUCUACAAAUAGAGAUGACGGUUUUAUUUCUUCCUUUCCGGUCUGUUUGUUUUGUUUGCUUUUGUGGCCUCUGGUGCUGGCUGGGACUUGGAGCACUUGGUUGAGGGAGGGUGCUGGGAGUGGACAGCAUCAUCUGUUCCUGAUCUUGGGGGCAGCGUUCAGUCUUCUCACUGGUAAGCGCACGGUUAGCUGUAGAUGUUUUUUACAGAUGUCAUUUGCCCUUCGUCGUAUGGGUAUGGGUGCGACCAUGGGCUAUUCUGUGGUGUUGGCUGAUAUAGCGCAGUUAUUAUCUAAAAGUUGUCUGUCUUGCUGCAGGCAGCAAGCUUUCGUUGGAGCCUUUUUGGUCUGUGCUUGUUGGCAUCUCCAGGUUCUUCCAUUCCAAGUGGGACAUAAAGCAACCAUGGGCCGCUCGCCACAGUGUCCUUCCUCGGGGCUGAGGCCCCUUGCUGGACUGCCUUCUUCACUCUGCCUUCGGAGUCUUCUCGCGUUUGCCUUGUGUGUCCCGUGUAGGAGUUUUCAUUGUACACAGAAGGUGGAAAGGGGAGAGUGUGUCUUCUUCAUCCUCCUGGAAGUGGAAGUGGUUAGAGAAACUAGAGGAUUGGGUGGAAGCCAGUACGUGGAGGGCCUUCACACCAGGGUUUUGACUCUGUAGCUGGUAGAAGGGCUCUUGGAAGGUCAUCUCUGCCAUGGUGUGGAGGGAUGGGGAAGGGGAGAGGCAGAGAGACCAGGAGGCUGGUACCUGAGCUCAGGGAGGAGAGGAUGAGGUUCUGGACUAUGACAGCAGACAUGGGGCAGAAAGAAGAAGGGGGAGUCCACAUGGGCCUUGAGGAAGUCUGAGAAGACCAGGGCUGACUUCACAGAGGAAGCCUGGCUGCUGUGUAAAAACCCAGGGAGCUCACAUUCUGGGCAGAGGAACCAAUGUGGAGAAAGGCACGGAUAGAGGAAACGUCCCAGGGGGCCUGUUGGGACUCCAGCUCGUCGAGGCAUGAGUGGGUAGUUACUGGUUCCAUAACUGGGAAGGAUGCUGGAUGCUGUAGGAGUUCACAAAAGCAGGAGGUUCCGGAAUAGGAGCUGACACUGCUGGGGAUCCAUCUGGCGCCUCCGGUUCAUUGUGCGUUAACAUCACUCUUUCUUACUGCAGACAGGCCUCCCUCCCUGUGAGGCACCACUGCUGAUAGCCCCAGUGUAGCCAUUCCAGCGAAGGGAGAACUCCGUUCUCUGCAUCCAUAUAUCAGUUCUAGAGAACGGCUCUGGAUGGCCCAGCUUGGGUGAUGUGCUUGGCCUUUGGGAACACUACAGCACAACUGGCUGUUGAGGGGUGAAGAUUGCUCUAAUCUGAGCUGGAUGGAUUACCCUACCCGCAC